UUUUACUCUUCCGGUCAAACCCCGCACUCACUAGGGUUCCUCACUCACUCACUCACUCGGCUCACAAUUUCCUGCCACGAACCCUAACUAGCGGCGGCGGCGGCUGCUGGAGCCUGGAGGAGGCGAGCGACGGCGGCUGCUGGAGCCUGGAGGCGAGCCACAUCCGUGUCUAGAGCUGGGUGCUGCCGCUGCUGCUGUAGAAGGCGCUGCAGCAGGAAGAAGAUCGGAGUGGCAUAGAUCUAACCAACCCUUGUUUCCAUGGCGAUGGAGAUCGAGCCACCCGCACCCGCCACGGCGGAUGACUGGCGGCACGCGCUCGCCCGCGUGGUGCCUGCUAUCACCGUAAUCCAUGUAACCAUGCCACGCGCCUUUGACACCGAGAUCGCCGGCGCCGGCGCUGCCACCGGCUUCGUCGUAGACAAGGCCCGGGGGAUCAUCCUCACCAACCGCCACGUCGUCAGUCCAGGACCCGUCGUUGCAGAGGCCAUGUUCUCCAACAGAGAGGAGAUCCCUGUGUACCCCCUCUACAGAGAUCCUGUGCACGAUUUUGGGUUCUUUAGGUACAAUCCAAAUGCCAUACAGUUCCUUGAGUAUGACGAGAUCCCUCUAGCACCCGAAGCGGCAUCCGUUGGGCUAGAUAUUCGGGUGGUCGGCAAUGACAGCGGCGAAAAGGUUUCAAUUUUGGCGGGAACACUGGCUCGACUUGAUAGAGAAGCUCCUGUUUACGCAAAGGAUGGGUACAAUGAUUUCAACACAUUCUAUAUGCAGGCUGCAUCUGGUACUAAAGGUGGCUCUAGCGGUUCCCCUGUUAUUGAUUGCCAAGGAAGAGCUGUUGCACUGAAUACAGGAGGCAGAGCUUCCAGCGCUAUUGCAUUCUUCCUUCCAUUAGAGUGUGUUGUUAGAGCACUCAAUUUGAUACGUCAUCAUUGGGUUGCAUUUGGCAGCAAGCCAGAAUCUGUUUAUAUUCCCCGUGGUACUUUGCAGGUAACUUUUGAACACAAAGGUUUUGAAGAAACUCGACGAAUUGGACUCAGGAAUGAUACCGAGAAGAUGGUAAGACUUGAUUCUCCAGCAGGUGUGACUGGAAUGCUGGUUGUUCAUUCUGUGGUGCCAGAUGGGCCUGCACACAAACUUUUGCAACCUGGUGACGUGCUGGUUCGCAUGAAUGGGGAGUUAGUAACACAAUUUCUCACCCUGGAGACCUUCCUUGACGGUAGCAUUGGCUCGGAAAUAGGUUUGCAGAUCGAAAGAUCUGGAAUUACUUUAACAAUAAAGCUGAAGGUAGAAGAUUUGCACUCCAUAACUCCAAAUCAUUUUUUGGAAGUUGGUGGUGCUGUCAUCCAUCCACUUUCAUACCAGCAGGCUAGAAACUUCGGGUUCAAAUGUGGUCUUGUAUAUGUUGCUGAGGCAGGGUACAUGCUCUCCCGAGCAUCGGUUCCACAACAUUCAAUUAUAAGGAGGUUUGCAGGAAAGGAUAUUGCACAUUUAGGUGACCUUAUUUCAGCUAUUUCAAAGCUGUCUAGGGGAGCGAAAGUGCCUCUUGAAUAUGUAAUAUACAAGGACCGACACCGGAACAAGACCGCAGUAGUAACAAUUGAUCAGCACGGGUGGUAUGCGUCUCCUCAGUUAUAUACUCGAAGUGAUGCAAAUGGACUGUGGACUGCAAAAUUAGCUAUAGCACUUGAAUCUGUUAUAGGAACUUUAUCAUCCUCUGGAGAUUUAGAUGACAUAAAAGCUGAUCUGAGGCAAUCUACUAGCCUGGAAGGUUCUGAUCUUGCUGGAACAAUAUCUAGUAAUUCUUCAUUGGCAGAACAAGCAAUUGAACCAUCCCUUGUAAUGUUGGAGGUGGACGUGCCACCAAUGUGCAUGCUUGAUGGACUUCAUGCUAAAUUUUUCGCUGGAGCUGGUGUGAUAAUAUACCAUUCUGACACCUUAGGUCUCAUUGCUGUUGACAAGAAUACAGUCAUUAUACCUGCUUGUGAUAUAAUGAUAUCUUUUGCUGCAUAUCCCAUUGAAAUACCUGGAGAGGUUGUUUUUCUGCAUCCUGUUCACAACUUUGCAUUUGUUGCGUAUGAUCCUUCUGCACUAGGAGCUGGAGCAUCUGCUGUCCGGGCUUCAGAACUUUUUGCUGAACCUGCCUUGCGCCGAGGAGAUUCCGUCUACCUAGUUGGGCUUGGGCUGGAUGGAAGCUUACAGGUUACAUCAAGGAAAUCAACCAUAACAAGUUGUAAAGCUGUUGACAUUCGCUCGGGUGACCGCCCACGAUAUCGUGCAAUAAAUAUGGAGGUCCUUGAGCUUGAUAAUGAUUUUGGUAGCCAAUUUUCGGGUGUAUUGACGGAUGACCAAGGGAGAGUUCAAGCACUAUGGGCAAGUGUCUCCAGCCAGAUAUUUGGUUCUAGCAUUUCGGAGGACGAUCAGUUUGUUAUAGGUAUACCAAUAUAUCCGAUAAUUGAAAUCCUUCAGAAAUUCAUCUCAGGAGCUCCUGGACAAUUUCGUCUUAUCAACGGAAUUAGGAGACCAAUGCCAUAUGUCAGACUUCUGGAGGUGGAACUUUAUCCAACUUUGCUAUCGAAGGCAAGACAUUCUGGAUUGAACGGUAGCUGGGUGCAGGCUCUCACUAAGAAGGACCCUGUGCGAAGACAAGUACUGCAAGUGAAAUGUUGUUUUGCUGGAUCAAAAGCGGAAAAUCUUCUCGAAGAUGGAGAUUUGAUUCUUGCUAUCAAUAAGGAGCCUAUUACAUGCUUCCUUGAUAUUGAGAAUGCUUGCCAAAAGUUGGAUCAGUCAAUCGAUUCAGAUGGAAUGCUUGACAUGACAAUAUUUCGGCAGGGAAAGGAAAUAGACCUCAUUGUUGGAACAGAUGUAAGGGACGGUAAUGGUUCAACACGUAUGGUGAACUGGUGUGGAUGCACAGUUCAGAGUUCGUAUCCGGCACUGCGUGGUCUUGGUUUUUUGCCUGCGGAAGGUCAUGGUGUUUAUGUUGUUAGAUGGUCUCGUGGAAGUCCCUCGCAUAGAUAUGGUCUCAGUGCUCUCCAGUGGAUAAUUGAGGUCAACGACCAACGAACUCCAGAUCUGGGAUCUUUUAUAGAGGUGGUGAAGGGAUUGGAAGAUGGCCAAUUUGUUAGGGUGAGAACCAUCCAGCUGGAUGGAAAACCCCGCUUCCUUGCUCUGAAACAAGACCUUCACUACUGGCCAACCUGGGAGCUCAGCUUUGACCCAGAGACUGCAACAUGGCACAGAAACAAUAUAAGCAUUGCUGCAGAGAGGCGUGCCAUAGAGGUCACUGCGAGCACAAGUGCGGGGGCAUGAUCAGCAGAAGCAAUGUGACACCAUGUCUCCGGCUAUUAGCUGUGUUUCUGUUCCAGAACUAUUAGGUGUUGCACACCACAAAAAGGGGUACCACUUAGGGUUAAGCGAAACAAUGUCUGGGUUCUAGAACCAUUCCUAUUGGUCCGUUUAUGCAAACCAUGUCGCUGAAUUUCAAUUUCAACAUGCUGGAAAUUGGGAGCCUCAAGUUUGUAUUCACAAAUCUGGGUUGUACCCACUUUAGCUUGCUCGGUACUAAGUUGCUGUGUAUCAACAUGGAUGUUGUGCAUUAUAUAUGAUGUGUGUAUACAUGUACAGGUUAGUAUCCCAAUUGUCUGCAAGUUUCAGUCCUUUUUGUUGUC